rnacentral:misc_RNA from 1 species
GUGAAUCAUCGAAUCUUUGAACGCAAAUUGCACUCUCUGGCAACCCGGGGAGUAUGCCUGUUUGAGGGUCAGUGAUAAUAAAAAUCGACAUAGUCGCUGUUUCGCGGUGACAUUCGUCGGAAAUUGGGUCAUCUUAAACCUUUUGGUUUUAAGCGGCUUAAAAUUUUCUUUACGAUUCCACGAACGUUACCAAGAUUUACUUACACGUUUAAGGUACCGAUCUUUAUUAGACGUGGCCGGUGCAUCGGAUCGCGUCCAUAAAUAUUUCGUUAACUGACCUCAUACAG